CGAAAGCCUGACGGAGCAAGACCGCGUGAGGGAGGAAGGCUCUUGGGUUGUAAACCUCUUUUCUCAGGGAAGAAGCUCUGACGGUACUUGAGGAAUCAGCAUCGGCUAACUCCGUGCCAGCAGCCGCGGUAAUACGGGGGAUGCAAGCGUUAUCCGGAAUUAUUGGGCGUAAAGCGUCCGCAGGUGGCAAUGUAAGUCUGCUGUCAAAACCCAGGGCUCAACUCUGGUCAGGCAGUGGAAACUACAUAGCUAGAGUUCGGUAGGGGCAAAGGGAAUUCCCGGUGUAGCGGUGAAAUGCGUAGAGAUCGGGAAGAACAUCGGUGGCGAAAGCGCUUUGCUAGACCGAAACUGACACUCAGGGACGAAAGCUAGGGGAGCG
rnacentral:rRNA from 1 species